rnacentral:rRNA from 1 species
CACGUAGGGGGCAAGCGUUGUCCGGAUUUAUUGGGCGUAAAGAGCUCGUAGGCGGCUUAGUAAGUCGGGUGUGAAACCUCCAGGCUCAACCUGGAGACGCCACCCGAUACUGCUGUGGCUAGAGUCCGGUAGGGGAGCGUGGAAUUCCUGGUGUAGCGGUGAAAUGCGCAGAUAUCAGGAGGAACACCGGUGGCGAAGGCGGUGGUCUGGGCCGGCACUGACGCUGAGGAGCGAAAGCGUGGGGAGCGAACAGG